rnacentral:rRNA from 1 species
AUUGAACGCUGGCGGCAUGCUUUACACAUGCAAGUCGAGCGGUAACAGGCCUUCGGGUGCUGACGAGUGGCGAACGGGUGAGUAAUGCAUCGGAACGUACCCAGAGGUGGGGGAUAACGCAGCGAAAGCUGUGCUAAUACCGCAUGUGAUCUGAGGAUGACAGCGGGGGACCGAGCAGCAAUGUUUGGCCUCGCGCCUUUGGAGCGGCCGAUGUCGGAUUAGCUAGUUGGUGGGGUAAAGGCCUACCAAGGCGACGAUCCGUAGCUGGUCUGAGAGGACGACCAGCCACACUGGGACUGAGACACGGCCCAGACUCCUACGGGAGGCAGCAGUGGGGAAUUUUGGACAAUGGGCGCAAGCCUGAUCCAGCAAUGCCGCGUGCGGGAAGAAGGCCUUCGGGUUGUAAACCGCUUUUGGCAGGAACGAAACGGUGUCCGCUAAUACCGGGCGCUAAUGACGGUACCUGCAGAAUAAGCACCGGCUAACUACGUG